rnacentral:lncRNA from 1 species
GUGUAUGUGGUGGGGUGAUGCUGAGGACACUUGUAAUAGCUGUUCUUUCUUUUAAUCUAAAGGCUUCUGCAGAAAAAAGCAUCCUGAACAGAUCAAGACAAAGGUCAAGAUCAAAGAAGGCUUCACAGGGAAGGUGGCAUUGCAACUAGAGCUUGAAAGCAACACCUUGAAAAGGAGAAUCACUAGCCACAGAAUUAACCUUGUGUAUACACAGUGAAAAAAUAUGACUUUACUUUUCUUCUUCUAAGUAAUUGAUAUUUGCAUUGACAUUAAAUGAUUUGAGGUUGGUUUAUCCCUUAAUAUGUGCAUUUGAAUGACUACUUUUUAACUAUUUUAAGUUCUCUUGAAUAUUAAUUUCCAGAAGUUAAAACACAAGAAACCACAACAUAAUUUGGAAAACACAGAAUAAAUGUG